rnacentral:rRNA from 1 species
GAGUUUGUAUCCUGGCUCAGGAUGAACGCUAGCUACAGGCUUAACACAUGCAAGUCGAGGGGCAGCAUGAACUUAGCUUGCUAAGUUUGAUGGCGACCGGCGCACGGGUGAGUAACACGUAUCCAACCUGCCGAGUGACUCGGGGAUAGCCUUUCGAAAGAAAGAUUAAUACCCGAUGGCAUAGUUCUUCCGCAUGGUGGAACUAUUAAAGAAUUUCGGUCAUCGAUGGGGAUGCGUUCCAUUAGGUU